CGUACACUUCCCUCUAUGGGAUCUGUCCUUACUCCCCUGACAAAAAUCACCCAGGGAGCUCAAGAGGGUUUCAGUGGAGACCCCCAGGGAUCGCGGCUGGUGCGGCGGACCUUCGGUUUGCACAGUGAGAGGCUGCAGCAGCAAAGGAUGAGCGGAACCCUGGAAAAGGUGCUGUGCCUGAGGAACAAUACCAUUUUUAAGCAAGCCUUUUCCCUCUUAAAGUUUAAAGCUUCAGGAGAGAAUCCCAUCUAUUCUGCAGGUGGCAUUCUACUGAGUACCAGUCGGCACUACAAGUCAAAGCCCACCCAUGCCAUUGGAAGAUACCAGCACUUAAUUAAAGCAGAAGAGCCCAAGAAGAAGAGGGGAAAAGUAGAAGUGAGAGCCAUUAAUUUGGGCACAGAUCAUGAAUAUUGUGUUUUAAACAUUCACCUGACUGCUUAUGACAUGACCCUGGCAGAGAGUUAUGCCCAAUAUGUUCACAACCUCUGCAACGAUCUUUCCAUUAAAGUCGAAGAAAGUUAUGCAAUGCCAACCAAAACCAUGGAAGUGAUGCGGCUGCUGGACCAAGGCAACAAAAUGGUCCUGGACUCAGUCCUUACCACUCAUGAGCGAGUGGUUCAGAUCAGCGGUUUGAGUGCUACAUUUGCAGAGAUUUUCUUGGAAAUAAUCCAAAGCAAUCUUCCUGAAGGAGUCACAUUGUCAGUAAGGGAGCACACUGAAGAAGACUUCAAGGGAAGAUUCAAAGCUCGGCCAGAACUGGAAGAACUGUUGGCCAAAUUGAACUAGCUAUUACAGACCUGCAAUAU